rnacentral:tRNA from 1 species
GUCACUGUGGCAGAGUGGUUAUCGCGUUGGUCUGCUAAACCAUCCCUUCGGGGUCGCGGGUUCGAAUCCCGUCGGUGACG